AUGGAACCGACGAUGGCAGCAGCAUCAUCAGGGACGUCGGCCCAGUCAAGUAACCGGCGGAGCAUGAGCUGGGGCUCCUCCAUCUCCCACUCGUUCCGGCAGCCGGACACGGACGACCCGUUCAGGCGGGCGCAGUCGCGCAGCGACAACGACGAGGAGAACCUCCGGUGGGCGGCGCUCGAGAAGCUGCCCACCUACGACCGCAUGCGCCACGCCAUCGUCCUCAAUCAAGACGGCGCAGGUCUGGUGCACAUCGAGCAGCUUGCCCGCGGCGAGGCCGGCCGCGCGCUCCUGGAGCGCGUCUUCCAGGACGACAGCGAGCGCUUCCUCCGGCGCCUCAGGGACCGCGCCGACAGGGUGGGCAUCGACCUCCCGGCCAUCGAGGUGCGGUACCAGGACCUCUCCGUCGAGGUCGACGCCUUCGUCGGCAGCCGGUCGCUCCCCACGCUCUGGAACGAAACCACUAACUUCCUACAGGGUCUUAUUGGACGAUUUGGCUCCUCAAACAAGAGGACCACUACCGUACUCAAACACGCCUAUGGCAUCCUCAAACCAUCCAGGAUGACUCUUCUUCUUGGACCUCCUUCUUCAGGAAAGAGCACACUUAUGCGAGCCCUUACAGGGAAGCUUGACAAAAGCCUCAAGGUAUCUGGCAGCAUCACAUAUUGUGGUCAUGCUUUUUCCGAGUUCUACCCUGAGAGGACCAGUGCGUAUGUCAGUCAGUAUGAUCUCCAUAAUGCAGAGAUGACUGUAAGAGAGACAUUAGAUUUCUCCAGGCGAUGCUUGGGUAUCGGUGCCAGAUAUGACAUGCUUGCGGAGCUCACUUCAAGGGAGCGGGAGGCAGGCAUAAAUCCAGAUCCUGAGAUCGACGCUUACAUGAAAGCUACUGCAGUGCAAGGACAUGAGACUAAUAUUAUAACCGAUCUUACUCUCAAGGUGCUUGGGCUUGACAUUUGCGCCGAUAACAUCGUCGGUGAUGAGAUGACCAGAGGAAUUUCUGGGGGGCAAAAGAAGCGUGUCACAACUGGGGAGAUGUUAACAGGACCCGCAAGGGCUUUGUUCAUGGAUGAAAUUUCCACUGGUUUGGAUAGCUCUAGCACGUUUCAGAUUGUAAAAUAUGUAAGGCAAUUGGUCCAUGUGAUGAAUGACACUGUGAUGAUCUCCCUUUUACAACCACCGCCAGAGACCUACAACUUGUUUGAUGACAUAAUUCUGCUAUCAGAAGGAUACAUAGUGUACCAUGGGCCACGCGAGAACAUCUUAGAAUUUUUUGAAUCCGCUGGUUUCCGGUGCCCGGAGAGGAAAGGAGUUGCUGACUUCCUUCAAGAGGUCACUUCCAAGAAAGACCAGCAACAAUACUGGUAUCUUGACCAGGAGCAGUAUCGUUAUGUGCCAGUUCUAGAGUUUGCUGAACAUUACAAGUCAUUCCAUGUAGGCCAGCAGAUGCUGGAGGAGCUGAAGAUUCCUUUUGAAAAAUCCAAAACCCAUCCUGCCGCGUUGACCAUGUCGAAGUAUGGGCAAUCCAGCUGGGAGUCAUUCAAGGCAGUGAUGUCGAGAGAACAACUAUUGAUGAAGCGCAACUCCUUCAUCUACAUCUUCAAGGUCAGCCAGUUGAUCCUCCUUGGGCUCAUGGCCAUGACUGUAUUCCUCAGAACAGAGAUGCCCCAUGGACAGAUUUCCGAUGGUGCUAAAUUCUUUGGAGCUCUGACUUUCAGUUUAAUCACCAUUUUGUUUAAUGGGUUUGCUGAGCUACAACUGACCAUUAAGAUCCUUCCUACAUUCUACAAACAAAGAGAUUUCUUGUUCUUCCCCCCAUGGACCUUCGGACUGGCAAACAUCAUCUUAAAAGUUCCUGUUUCAUUUGUGGAGGCUGGGGUAUGGGUUGUCCUCACGUACUAUGUGAUGGGCUUUGCACCUUCUGCAGGAAGGUUCUUCCGCCAACUUUUAGCUUUCUUCGUUACUCACCAAAUGGCAAUGGCUUUGUUCCGAUUUCUUGGUGCUAUUUUGAAAUCAAUGGUUGUUGCCAACACUUUUGGGAUGUUUGUUCAACUUAUUAUUUUCAUAUUUGGAGGAUUUAUCAUCCCUAGAGGUGACAUCAGACCAUGGUGGAUCUGGGCUUACUGGGCAUCUCCUAUGAUGUAUAGCCAGAAUGCAAUAUCGGUCAAUGAAUUCCUUGCCAGUAGGUGGGCCACUCCAAACAAUGAUCCUACUAUUGAUGCACCAACGGUAGGAAAGGCUAUUCUUAAAUCCAGAGGCUUGUUUACUGGAGACUGGGGCUUUUGGCUUUCCAUUGGAGCCGUUAUAGGAUUCACUAUUUUGUUCAACAUUUUGUACCUUCUGGCCCUAACAUACUUGAGCCCUAGCAGUAGAUCAAACGCACUAGUUUCAGAUAAGGAGAAUGAGAGUGGCACAAACAAAGAGCAAAUGUCAGAAGCCAGUGUGUCAUCUACUAUGCCAUCUUCAAUACCUAUGGUUUCUACAGGUGCUAAGGAAGCCACAAAUAAGCCAGCUCAGUCACGAACUACCUUGCCUUUCCAGCCUCUUUCACUUUCUUUCAACCAUAUAAACUAUUGGGUGGACAUGCCUGCAGAAAUGAAGGAACAAGGAUUCACAGAAAGUCGUCUCCAGUUGCUCUCUGAUAUCAGUGGUGCAUUUAGGCCAGGAGUUCUGACUGCACUAGUUGGUGUGAGUGGAGCUGGGAAGACCACUCUAAUGGAUGUCCUGGCAGGAAGGAAAACCAGUGGAGCUAUUGAAGGAAGUAUCACCCUCUCCGGUUACCCUAAAAAGCAAGAAACUUUUGCCCGCAUUAGUGGCUAUUGUGAACAGAUUGAUAUCCAUUCACCAAAUGUUACAGUAUAUGAAUCCAUUCUGUACUCUGCCUGGCUGCGUCUUUCCUCAGAUGUUGAUGACGCUACGAGAAAGAUGUUUGUGGAGGAAGUCAUGACCCUUGUAGAACUUGAUGUGCUGCGUAAUGCUAUGGUUGGUCUCCCUGGAGUUGACGGGUUAUCGACUGAACAAAGAAAGAGACUGACAAUUGCUGUGGAGCUAGUAGCAAAUCCUUCAAUUAUAUUUAUGGAUGAGCCAACUUCUGGUCUUGAUGCUAGAGCUGCAGCAAUUGUCAUGAGGACAGUGAGAAAUACAGUCAAUACUGGGCGUACCGUUGUUUGCACGAUCCAUCAACCAAGCAUUGAUAUAUUUGAGUCUUUUGAUGAGCUUCUGCUUUUGAAAAGAGGAGGGCGGGUUAUUUAUGCUGGUGAACUUGGUCGUCACUGUGAUAAACUAGUUGAAUAUUUCGAGGAAAUUCCAGGUGUGGCUAAGAUCACAAAAGGAUAUAAUCCUGCAACAUGGAUGCUGGAAGUUAGCUCCACUUUAGCUGAAGCUCACUUGAACAUAAAUUUUGCGGAAAUUUAUGCUAAUUCCGUUCUUCAUAGGAAAAACCAAGACCUUAUUAAGGAAUUGGGCGUUGCCCCUCCAGGCUAUCAGGAUCUCUCAUUUCCUACAAAGUAUUCUCAAAAUUUCUACAACCAAUGUGUUGCAAACUUCUGGAAGCAAUACAAAUCUUAUUGGAAGAAUCCACCCUACAAUGCCAUGCGCUAUCUUAUGACGUUGCUCGAUGGUGUUGUAUUUGGUACUGUGUUUUGGCAAAAAGGAACAAAAAUAGAAUCGCAACAAGACUUGUACAAUCUACUUGGUGCCACUUAUGCUGCUGUCUUCUUCCUUGGGGCUACCAAUUGCUUCACCGUUCAGCCUGUUGUGUCAAUUGAGAGAACAGUUUUCUACCGUGAAAAGGCGGCAGGGAUGUACUCUCCAUUAUCCUAUGCAUUAGCUCAGGCAUGCAUGGAGAUCAUCUACAACAUCCUCCAAGGGAUGUUAUACACAAUCCUCAUCUAUGUGAUGAUUGGAUAUGACUGGAAAGUUGACAAGUUCUUCUAUUUCAUGUUCUUCGUUAUUGCAAGCUUCAACUACUUCACAUUGUUCGGCAUGAUGUUGGUAGCAUUGACUCCAUCUGCAAUGCUUGCAAGCAUACUCGUAUCCUUUGUACUCCCUCUCUGGAACCUGUUUGCUGGGUUCCUCGUUGUCAGAACAGCGAUACCGAUUUGGUGGAGGUGGUACUACUGGGCCAACCCAGUGUCUUGGACCAUCUAUGGUGUUGUUGCAUCGCAGUUUGGUGACCAUGGCGGUUCUCUGCUAGUCCCCGGUGGGAGCCCUAUGGUGGUGAAGCAAUUUUUGGAGGAUAAUUUGGGCGUGCGGCAUGAUUUCCUUGGCUAUGUUAUCAUAGCCCACUUUGCCUACAUCAUUGCCAUCUUCUUCGUCUUCGGCUAUUCCAUCAAGUUCUUAAACUUUCAAAAACGUUAG
rnacentral:rRNA from 1 species